rnacentral:rRNA from 1 species
GACGAACGCUGGCGGCGUGCCUAAUACAUGCAAGUAGAACGCUGAAGGAGGAGCUUGCUUCUCUGGAUGAGUUGCGAACGGGUGAGUAACGCGUAGGUAACCUGCCUGGUAGCGGGGGAUAACUAUUGGAAACGAUAGCUAAUACCGCAUAAUAGUAGAUGUUGCAUGACAUUUGCUUAAAAGGUGCAAUUGCAUCACUACCAGAUGGACCUGCGUUGUAUUAGCUAGUUGGUGAGGUAACGGCUCACCAAGGCGACGAUACAUAGCCGACCUGAGAGGGUGAUCGGCCACACUGGGACUGAGACACGGCCCAGACUCCUACGGGAGGCAGCAGUAGGGAAUCUUCGGCAAUGGACGGAAGUCUGACCGAGCAACGCCGCGUGAGUGAAGAAGGUUUUCGGAUCGUAAAGCUCUGUUGUAAGAGAAGAACGAGUGUGAGAGUGGAAAGUUCACA